AACUAGUAUAUUCAACACCUAUUCUAACAUGAUCGUCCGUCUUAUUCGAAAUUUUUUUAUAAUUAGUAUUUUUAUUUUUAUUUUUAUUACAUUAUAAAACAUGAAUAUUACUUUACGCGUGACUUACUUUUUUAGUUUUUUUCAAAAAAAAUUAAAUAAGAUAGAAGAUUAAAGUUAGACAUAAAAACUCAUGACUGCGCUUAUU
rnacentral:pre_miRNA from 1 species